rnacentral:tRNA from 1 species
AAUAAGAUGGCUGAGUAAGGUUAUAAAUUGUAAAUUUAUAUAUGAAUUAAUAAUUCUCUUAUUG